CAGCCGGCUGCCCCCGAGGCCCGGGCGGCCUCCGCGGUCUCCAUGGUAACGGCCGCUCUGGCGUCUCCGCCUCUGGGGGAAGAUGCAGCCUGCCGGGCCCGCCAUCUCGCCCCCGGCCUCAUGGCGGGGCCGGGGCCACUGAGGAGGAAGGUCCCGGCCACCGGACUGCGGGGCAGCGGGCACCAGUGAAAUCCCAUUCCCUGCCUGGAGACACAGAUGGCCUCAAAUGAGAGAGAUGCUAUAUCGUGGUACCAAAAGAAGAUUGGAGCAUAUGAUCAGCAGAUCUGGGAAAAGUCAAUCGAACAGACUCAGAUUAAGGGCUUCAAAAACAAACCAAAAAAGAUGGGCCACAUAAAACCAGACUUGAUUGACGUUGACUUAAUCAGAGGCUCAACAUUUGCCAAAGCCAAACCUGAAAUUCCAUGGACAUCUCUGACUCGGAAGGGGCUUGUAAGAGUUGUGUUUUUCCCCUUGUUCAGCAACUGGUGGAUUCAGGUGACCUCUUUAAGAAUCUUUGUUUGGCUGCUACUGCUUUACCUCAUGCAAGUUCUAGCACUCGUGUUGUAUUUUAUGAUGCCUAUUGUGAAUGUAAGUGAAGUGCUUGGACCCUUGUGCCUUAUGUUACUCAUGGGAACUGUCCACUGUCAGAUCGUGUCUACUCAGAUAACAAGGCCAUCGGGAAACAAUGGAAAUCGGAGAAGAAGAAAAUUACGGAAAACUGUCAACAGUGAUGGGAGCCGAGAAAAUGGAAAUAACUCCUCUGAUAAAGUCAGAGGAGUAGAAACUUUGGAGUCUAUUCCCUUUAUUGGCGGUUUUUGGGAGACUCUCUUUGGGAACAGGAGUAAAAGAGUAAAACUAAUCAGUAACAAAGGGACUGAAACGGACAAUGACUCAAGUUGUCUGCAUCCUAUCAUUAAGAAGAGACAGUGUCGACCAGAGAUUAAAAUGUGGCAAACAAGGGAGAAAGCAAAAUUUUCAGAUGGAGAAAAGUGCCACAGGGAGGCUUUCAGGCGACUGGGGAAUGGGAUUUCGGAUGAUCUGUCCAGUGAGGAGGACGGUGAAGCCCGGACACAGAUGAUGAUGCUACGUAGGAGUGUGGAAGGGGCCUCAAGUGACAACGGUUGUGAAGUGAAGAAUAGAAAAUCCAUACUUACCAGGCACCUCAACACUCAGGUAAAGAAAAGCACUCCCAAGUGGUGUCACACGGCUCGGGAUUCGGAUAGUCUGGCAGAAUCAGAAUUUGAAUCGGCAGCCUUCAGUCAGGGCUCGAGGUCGGGCAUGAGUGGUGGCUCCCGAAGCCUCCACAUGUCGAGAAGAGACUCAGAGAGCACCCGCCAUGACUCGGAGACUGAGGAUAUGCUAUGGGAUGACCUGCUGCAUGGCCCAGAGUGUCGAUCGUCUGUCACCAGUGAUAGUGAGGGGGCCCAUGUGAAUACCCUUCACUCAGGGACCAAACGUGACCCCAAAGAAGAUGUUUUUCAGCAGAACCACUUAUUCUGGCUUCAGAACUCAAGUCCUGCCUCUGAUCGAGUUAGUGCAAUAAUCUGGGAAGGGAAUGAGUGCAAAAAGAUGGAUAUGUCUGUGUUGGAAAUAAGUGGCAUCAUCAUGAGCAGGGUGAAUGCAUAUCAGCAAGGAGUAGGUUAUCAGAUGCUGGGAAAUGUCAUCACCAUUGGAUUAGCAUUUUUUCCUUUCUUACAUCGACUUUUCCGUGACAAGAGCCUUGACCAGCUAAAAUCCAUUUCAGCUGAGGAGAUCAUGACUCUUUUUUGUGGGGCACCACCUGUUACGCCUAUCAUUAUUUUGUCUAUGAUUAAUUUUUUUGAAAGAUUGUGUCUUACUUGGAUUUUUUUUUUCAUGAUGUGUGUGGCAGAGAGAACGUAUAAACAGAGAUUUUUAUUUGCAAAACUCUUCAGCCAUAUUACCUCUGCCAGGAAAGCUAGGAAAUAUGAAAUACCUCAUUUCAGACUUAAAAAAGUGGAGAACAUUAAGAUAUGGUUAUCACUGCGUUCCUUUCUAAAGAGACGGGGUCCGCAGCGUUCAGUUGAUGUGGUUGUAUCUUCAGUCUUCUUGCUGACUCUUUCAAUUGCUUUCAUUUGCUGUGCCCAGGUUCUCCAAGGGCAUAAAACUUUCCUGAAUGAUGCUUAUAAUUGGGAAUUUUUGAUCUGGGAAACAGCUUUACUACUUUUCUUGCUGCGUCUUGCUUCACUGGGGUCUGAAACCAAUAAGAAAUACAGCAAUGUUUCAAUAUUACUUACUGAGCAGAUUAAUUUAUAUCUUAAGAUGGAGAAAAAGCCGAAUAAGAAAGAACAGCUUACUCUAGUAAAUAAUGUAUUAAAGCUGUCUACCAAGUUAUUGAAAGAGUUGGACACACCAUUUAGACUCUAUGGACUGACAAUGAAUCCCUUAAUCUACAAUAUCACACGAGUCGUUAUCCUUUCUGCUGUCUCAGGUGUUAUAAGUGAUCUUCUAGGAUUUAAUAUAAGACUGUGGAAAAUUAAGUCAUAAGCUGAGCCAUGUGCCUGGACUCUCCCCUUGCUGGCAUCAGUACUGGCCCAUUAAGGAAGGAGAGGACUUUCAGAAACCAUGAGACACCUACCUGCUUGUUCACACACAGAGGUUAAUGCUGGCCUUGUAGAAUGAAUUUGGAAGCAUUCCUUCUUCUUCAACUUUUUUGGAAGAGUUGGAGGUGAUUGGUGUCCAUCUUGAAUAAGGAAGUUUGAAUUUCACAAAUGUGCAAUAAUUGCAUACCUUCCCUGCAGCAUGCCUGAGCAUAUAAACUGUAGUAAGGUAUUAUUCAAGGUCACAGCCGUUUCUCAGCCACACCGGUAGUGCCUGCGGCUUUGUGUGCACUUGGAACCUUCCAGGGCCCCGGAGUUAUGGGUGUUUUCUUAACGGGAGAAGCGCUCUCAGGCACACCAUCCUUUAAUUCCUCUGUCUUUUCAUAUAUCUGAACUCUCAUCAAAGAUUCUUCAAUUCCUGGUGCGGGAAACUCCUCAAAUACGGAAGCAGAAUGGAAAGGUGGGGGAAAUGGUGGCUGCUCGUCAUAAAUCACAUUUGAAGACGAAGGAGUAUUAACAUCCCAAUCACCUGCAAAGAGGGAUUUGAGUGGGACAUUAUUACAUUUUAGAAUUAUAAAGAGGAACUGUAAGUUUUAAACUCUGACAGCCCUUUGAAUUGGACUAACUGCUCAAACAGUCUGAGUAUAUACGCUGAGCGCACCCGAUAAAGGCGGGGCGUAUACACAGACAAGCAUGCAGACAGCUGCGCUUGUACACGAGGUGGUUGUACUCGUAGGCUGUUUAAAUACACACAGAGUAACAGUCAUUCUUCCAAUAAUUUAAGUAUUCAUGAUACGACGAAUUCAUACAUUGUAUAUGGUAAGUAGUAACGCCCAAUAAAAAACUUAGAAGAAAUAAUAAAAUCAAACCAAAUUACUUGGUCCAGGAAGCUUACUAAUUUGGCUGUUAUCAAAGGAUAGAGCUAUGCCAAAAUCACUAGUAAAGGAGACCCAACUGUGGUAGCCAGAAUGAGGUUUCUUGGGCAUUUGUCAAUAAUUUUCUUGCAUUAAGCUGUCAAAUUUAAUGUCAAAAGAGAACUGAAAAGUGCAGAAGAUAGAAAGAGAUGUAUUUAAUAGCAUUUUUAAUUAAACAGAAAAAAAAAGAAGGAAGUGAUUUACAAGACAUGCAAAUUUACCAAGUCUUUUUAAGGAAAGACCAAGAAAAGCCCUGAAAGCCUUAAUGUUGCUCAGGUUUCACGUAGGAGCACAGACCGGAAGGAGCCAAACCUGAAGAAGGAAGAGAAAAAGCCUAGGACUAUGUAAAAAAAAAAAAAAAUCACAGCGCAGUUAGCAAAGAUGUCACGGGGAACGUAUGGUUUACAAGCAGGUGGUGGAAGAUCACACAGUCAAAGAAUUAUAGGCUGGAGGGGACUGUAGGAGGUCAUGUCUAGACUUGUCCCUCAAUAGCUCUGGGGGCUGGGGGGAGGAAACUGGAAGGGACACGUCCCAGUGGUGUGGUACUCUACUCCUAGGCUAGUGCACUUGAUUCAACAAUGAGCUGCAAAUCCUGUGAUACUUCAGAACCAUACAGUGAAACCCGGGAAACUGAGGCUCAGCACUGGAGUCCAGACGUGGUCCCACAUCUGACUCCCUGACCACAGGUGGGCCAUAGAAAUGUGUUUUCGGCAAGUGACCAGAAAAGCCUAAAGUUCUUAGCAUUUGAAGAGAUUUCAAAUGUAUCACUUGCUGCCCAUAUCCUUGUUUUUUUACAGGCACAUUUCUCUACAAAAGCAACUAUAUGUUUCCUAUGGAAACUGCUUCACAAAUUCCAUCUCAACAAAACAAUCAGGCCCGAAGGCACUGAUUCUGCAGUAUUACAAUAACUCUGCUGUGUAACUAGUUUCAGAUGGCUCUGCUGUUUACCUCUGAACUAGCCAGUAAACCCUCUCUCCCCUUCCACCAGAGCUUCCUUUCCUGCUGUUGCCCCCUCUCUAACACCCCGGCCACCUCCGGCUCCAGGGGAGCUACAUGACUUACCGUGGUCAGGUAUCAAGCCAGUUCCUGGCCUCAAAAGCAGAAGAACUUUAUUUCCACCGGCCUGAAUGAGCUCAAUUGCUCGAGUAUGUGUGAUGCCUUGCGUAGGCUCUCCAUUGAUUUCAACAAUCUGAUCACCCACCUAGAGAGCGAACAUUCACAGGAACAUGAAACUAUGCAUCCUUCCUCUCUGCUGCUCUGGAGCCACCCAAGCUUGCUAAUUGUCAGACGUGUAACUUGUACACAGUGCUAUAGUGCUAAGGCCAAUGAUGUGUGGACAGAGGAUAGCCAUUGGGAGAGACCGUGGUCAGCUUUCUUUACUCUAGAAAUCCUGCAGGAGAAAGUUUUAUAUGACUAGUAAAUGGGGUCCAGGACCCUUGAAUUCAUGAAUCAGAUUCUAAGUUUUCCACCAAAGGAUAAGUAAGGGCCACCAGAGGUAACUUCGCUAUGAUCUACAGGAUACUGUGGAUCACAGCGCCUGUCAUAGGCCUGCCACAGGCCUGUCACUGAAUGAUCUACCCGUGAAGGGUACUUUCCAACUUGACCGGAAUCUUGCAUUUAUUUUCUAAAAUCUGGGCUCCUCAUCUUUGAAGGCUUUCCGGGCCUGCGGGGAGAACUGCCCGCUCCUUUGUGUUGCCCAUGCACCCUGUACAUGUACGAGGCAUUCGGUAACUGGGAUAUUCAGAGAUGGAAACUCUGACGAACUAUAGCCUGGAGCACAUAUUGAUAUGAAUACUUAUUUAAAACCAGUAACUGGUUUACACUCAUGACUUAAACGUAAAAUAAUUUCCCUAUGAAACAGAAAACUGGGGAUCAGAGAAAGAUGUUAGUAUCACUGCUGUAUACUAGAAAUGAUGUUUAGUUAUUAAAAAAAGGGAUAAUAUAGGUGAGUCAAGUAUAACUUUUGGCAAAGGACCUGAUUAAUGAUAACAAUGGUAGUGAUUUAAAAAUAUGUCUCAAGGUGACAAGCAUGCAAAGGGUACUGGCUUCAAAAGAGGAAAAACUGAACAGUGGAAAACUACUGAAAUUUCAAGAAGCUCAAAUAUUUAUAAGAGCUUACUAAAAUGAUCCAGAAAUAACACAACAGAAGAUGACCCAAUAAUUAUAUAACAGAGGCUGGGGGAAGUCUGAAUCCACAGACCGUGCAAAGCACAGGGGCCAGGAAGCUGGGCUUUGGCGUCUGUGGUUCGCUCCUGGGUCUACCUCCUAUUGGUUGGGUGGGCUCGGUUUCUUCCCUGUUAAAUGGGGACAAAAUCAGCACCCACCUUGGGGCACAGGGGAGGAUUUAAUGAGAUAAAACCUGAUUACCUGAUAAAACAGAGACAAAUGUUACUUUUCAAGUUCUCUAUUUCCCCAUCUUGCCAAAAAAGACUUCAAGUGCAUUAGGAGAAGAUUCACCUGAGGCUGUACCCCACUCUCUACACUGCAAAAAAUGUCAACUAUGAGAAAGAAGAGAGAGAGUUUUGCUGCAUGUUUAUGGGAGGAGAAAUGGAGAAUAUCAAGUAAGAUAGAUGGAUUUAACAUAGUAGAAAAAAGAUCUUUAAACAAAAUAAUAAACAGGAUGGAAAAAGUAAUAUAUGUAUAAUUAAUAAACAAGCUUGUAUCUAGAAUAUAUGUGAGACAAAAGUCAAUACUCAGAUUUCCCUAAUGAGUGACUGAAGAAAAAUUAUUUGCAUGAGGAAAUACACAUGAUAAGUUAGUACUGGGUAUAAAAUACUUCUGAUGAUGAGAAAAAUGAAAAUUAAGGCAGACAGUACUGAGAACAUGGUUUGGGUAUAUCUUGUGAAACAUACUAAGGUUGUCAUUGAUUGCAGUCACAUUAAAUUCACUGUCCUAAGCUGCCUAGUUCUUUCUCUUAGUACAACAAAUGAAUUGCAAUAAAGCUUGUAAUUGAACAGA